UUUAUUCAUUUUCCUUUAAAAGGGGUGGAGGAGGGGCGGCAGUGAGACCAAUGAGAAUGUAUUUGUGAGACUUAACUAGUGCCCCCGAAAUCUACAUUUUACACAAGGACCUUUCAUCUAGGGAGGAGCUGAAAGCCCUUUGAAGAUGUUAAUAAGAAAGAGACCUGCUAAUUAAGAUUGCUUAAAAAUAAAAACUCGUCUUCCAGUAUGUUUACAUGAUUGCUGGGAAGGUUCUGACUCAAAGAGAUUUGCUAUCACAGGAUCUCAUUCAGGACACCACAUUACCAUUAGUACAGUGUCUCCUCUGGCUCUUCUUGGCU